UCAUUCUGAAAUUUUUUCAUGCUUUAUAUUACUGUGUAAUAAAAUUCCAUAAACCACAAUUCCUCCUGUAUUAUGAAUAAAGAUACGAAAUUUAAAUUCAACUACACGUUGUAAAACAUAUUUAAUUCAUGAACUAAAAGUAAUCAAUACUUGAUAAAAUUGGAUUUAAUUAGAAAAGUUUGACAGAGUAUAUGUCAAUUCAUAACGAUAAACAAUAAACACGAAUGCCUCUUUCAUUUUACUAAAAUUAAAAAAAGGCCGGCUCAUUUAUAGUAUUAAUCAACGAAGAAAUUUAUAUAUCACAACCAUAAAGCCGUAUUCUAAACAUUGUUUAAUAAAUUUGAUUUAAAGGUUUAAUUAAAGGGAUUUCAAUCGCCUUGAAAUGCUAUAACAAAACUUUCAUAUGUUUAACAACGGGGUUAAACAAAUCUUUUUGAAGUCAUCAUUUACUUUUUAUUUUUUCGUAUGGUAAAAAACAUUUACCCUUUUUAA